rnacentral:misc_RNA from 1 species
GAUGAAGAACGUAGCCAAAUGCGAUAAGUAAUGUGAAUUGCAGAAUUCAGUGAAUCAUCGAAUCUUUGAACGCACAUUGCGCCCGCCAGUAUUCUGGCGGGCAUGCCUGUUCGAGCGUCAUUUCAACCAUCAAGCCCCCGGCUUGUGUUGGGGACCUGCGGCUGCCGCAGGCCCUGAAAACCAGUGGCGGGCUCGCUAGUCACUCCGAGCGUAGUAAUACAUCUCGCUCAGGGCGUGCUGCGGGUUCCGGCCGUUAAAAAGCCUUAUUUACCCAAGGUUGACCUCGGAUCAGGUAGGAAGACCCGCUGAACUUAAGCAUAUCAAUAAGCGGAGGA